GAUGAACGCUGGCGGCGUGCCUAAUACAUGCAAGUCGAGCGAACAGACGAGGAGCUUGCUCCUCUGACGUUAGCGGCGGACGGGUGAGUAACACGUGGAUAACCUACCUAUAAGACUGGGAUAACUUCGGGAAACCGGAGCUAAUACCGGAUAAUAUAUUGAACCGCAUGGUUCAAUAGUGAAAGACGGUUUUGCUGUCACUUAUAGAUGGAUCCGCGCUGCAUUAGCUAGUUGGUAAGGUAACGGCUUACCAAGGCGACGAUGCGUAGCCGACCUGAGAGGGUGAUCGGCCACACUGGAACUGAGACACGGUCCAGACUCCUACGGGAGGCAGCAGUAGGGAAUCUUCCGCAAAGGGCGAAAGCUUGACGGAGCAACGCCGCGUGAGUGAUGAAGGUCUUCGGAUCGUAAAACUCUGUUAUUAGGGAAGAACAAAUGUGUAAGUAACUAUGCACGUCUUGACGGUACCUAAUCAGAAAGCCACGGCUAACUACGUG
rnacentral:rRNA from 1 species